UUAGUUGAUUUGGCCCACUCUGUUUCUGCCAAGCUGAUUGUCUGCUUGCCCCGCGAAUCCAGUGAAACUUCUUUGCACCAAGGAGUAAGUUCAGAUGUAAGACGUUUCCGCUUCAUGGGUUUCAGCAAUUGGUGAUGCUGUCCAACAUUCAGUGGCAAUGUCUGUGGAGAAGAAAAAUCUUCAAUGGCAGCAGAGCCAGCAGAUGAACUUUGCCCAAGAUUACUUCUAUCAGCAUUUGUAGGGAUUACUCUCUGUAUGGAAUCAAAUGUCUGCAACACAUUGAAAGACUUCCCAGGGGUGAAAGGUUG
rnacentral:misc_RNA from 1 species